UGGGGAAUAUUGGACAAUGGGCGAAAGCCUGAUCCAGCUAUGCCGCGUGAGUGAAGAAGGUCUUCGGAUUGUAAAGCACUUUAAGCGAGGAGGAGGGUACUGGUAAUAAUACUACCAGCUACUGGACGUUACUCGCAGAAUAAGAACCGGCUAACUCUGUGCCAGCAGACGCGGUAAUACAGAGGGUGCGAGCGUUAAUCGGAUUUACUGGGCGUAAAGCGUGCGUAGGCGGCUAAUUGAGUCGGAUGUGCAAUCCCCGAGCUUAACUUGAGAAUUGCAUUCGAUACUGGUUAGCUAGAGUGUGGGAGAGGAUGGUAGAAUUCCAGGUGUAGCGGUGAAAUGCGUAGAGAUCUGUAGGAAUACCGAUGGCGAAGGCAGCCAUCUGGCCUAACACUGACGCUGAGGUACGAAAGCAUGGGGAGCAAACAGG
rnacentral:rRNA from 1 species